GCCACCUUAGCUCAGUUGGUAGAGCAACGCAUUCGUAAUGCGUAGGUCUCCGGUUCAAUUCCGGAAGGUGGCC
rnacentral:tRNA from 1 species